GCCAGUGUGGCAUAGUGUUUUGAGUGUUGGACUAGGACUCUGGAGAGCAGGGUUCGAAUCCCAGCUCAGCCA
rnacentral:tRNA from 1 species